AUGGAAUUAUGAAUGAAUGAACAGAUAUAGUUUGGGGGAAGAAUGCCAAGACAAAUAUCCUUCAGAAUGUACUUCAUCGACCUUCGUAUAAAUGCAAAGGAUGGGAAAUAUGGUGACUACAACUACAACUCAAUACGCAAUACUGAGCAAACGCAAAAUGAGGUAUAAUUGUGUUAAAUUGGUCUAUUUCAGAAAACCCAGUUGGGUCCAUUGUAUGGGGCAUAAAGUGGCCGCUACCCAUAAUUACGCAGCGCUGGCUAAACCCUCCACGCAAACGUCCAGCGUGUUGCCCGGGCGGCUUAUCUCGGCCGCAACAGAGCGAUACGCAUCUGACUCCGGGGAGAGCUGCCGGCCCGCGGCGUGUCAGCGGAGCCGGCGGCCGAGGCGAUAAGAAGCCGCGGCUGCACGGUGACACCGUGUCCGUGUAAACGACUCGGUCUCGUCGCGGAAACAGGACAGAUAAGCAACAGCUGUUUGUCCAGCACAGGCAAGGCCGGCUCCGUGCGGGGAAGACGAAUGAUUCAGCCGUGCUGGGACCGGCGGGAAUUGACGUGUGCCGCACUUGAGAGACGGCGCCAACAGAACAGGGCAUCAUUAAAAGCAGUCCGUAAGGCCCCAGACCAGAUGCCCAGACCUUGCCUGUGGCAGAUUUUCCCAACCCAGUUUCCUGUACAAUUUCCUUUUCAUCGUUCUGUCCCCUCUUCCAUCCCUCAUCCCAACCGGAGAACGUCAAGGCUGCAACCAUGCUACAGCUCGAGCCACUGCGAGACGUCAGAUUUACCAGCUUCUCUGAACCUGAAACACUGGCGCUAAGAUCAGUCAGCUGAGCAUGAAAGGACCUGUCUCCGUCUCCAUUUCAAGACCAUGAAUCUUCUUAUGUCUGGGCUGUUAUCUGUCGCUUACUAUUUGCCUGAGUGAGCUGCAUUGUGUCUCCACUCUUCUCUUGUAUAGUGAGCGGAUCCUACUGGCAAAGUCUCUCAAACUACUCAGAUUUUAUACCCUCUAGACCACAAAUAUAAAGAUGCACCCUGGAGUAUGGAGAAGACCCCCUUCUCAAUUCUUCACCUGGAAUUUGAAGAUUAGCCUGCCAGUCAUUGUAACCGCUGUGGUUUACAGUUCGAUGAUCCACUGCACGUGCGACUUGGACGGACUGGGGGAUACAACAGCACUGCAAUCACUGAGCUACACCCAGCAGAUCGUAAACCAUCCGUUACCUCACCCUGAUGCAUGACUUCAUUCAGCCGCAUUGACACAAUGCAAGACGGAGACCGCCAAAGACCAAGCGGCUGGCAGACACGAAGGUGGGGAGCGGCCGGUUGGCGGCUCAUUAUGGCCCCUGUGGUUUUCCGCAAUCUCCCUGCCGGUGAAGCAUUCUUGGGAAAGCUAGCGGAGGCUUCCAGAAAGCUGCCGACUUGCUUCAGUGGGGGAGUACCACAGUCAGCGGUUGGGUUCCUGUCCCUAAGUGGUCAAUUACGGUUCAAGGGGAGACGGGCUGCUAUUGUGCCAGCCUUGGCAUCUUCAAAGACGCUGGUAUGGCACUGAUGGACCACAUUGUCAUGGUGCCAAAAUGGUUAGACCAACAAGACAGACCUGGCUCUUCUCAUCUGACCCUGGACAGAACCUGGAAACAGCAUCAAAGGAAAGCACUAUGCAGACACUGAAGAAUAAUACAAACCUCGCUCCCCUCCCCCCCCCCUUUGCCUCGACGCAGCCCUAUUGAUCAGGGAAAUCGAUUCUCUCAGAGAAAGAGGCACAUAAGGAGAUGCUGGGAUCAAGCACACAGAGUAAAUUGAAUAACAGAUUUUUUUUUUUUUAAGAACCACAAAAAAGUGCUCACGUAUGACCUUAUUUCCCGUUGAAAGAAAUCUAUUUCGGUGUCACAGAAUAAACCAACAGUUGAUUACAAUCAAAUACAAAAACUUUAAAAUCCAUUUGUCUAAAACUAAUUAGCAAACAUUACUUUAGCUAGCCAGCGUGAAUAUGUACAGUAAAUUGCCCUCACCGCAUGUUCUCAGUUUUCAUUUAGCCAGAUUCAAAAUCAAUUAUUAAAGACCUUUCCACAAAUUAUGAAGUCAUCGAUAUAUUUUUUUCUGCAGGUUUUCCCACCAUGGGCGUAAAUUACAGGGGGGAUGGGGGGGUUGUAGCCCCCCCAAUAAAUCAAAACCAGCUAAUACAACCCCCCCAAUAAUCAUGUUUCCCCCGUAAGGGGUGGAGACCUAAACCCCCGCAAUGUUCCAGCCAAAGUUGCGCCCUUAACCCGCACAAACUCCUAAACAAAUAAAUGGAAGCAAAUGCAUUUCUACACAUUAUAUCGGAGUCCCGCCUAUUUCCACCUCACGUUCUAGCCCCGCGAUGGCAGCUACACAGGUCCCGAUACCUGAAAGAAACCCAUUUUCCGCCUGGCUGCGCAGACGGAAGGCAGAGCGGCUUCAUGAGGAGGUGUUCUGGUUGGUCCGCGUGAGCAUUUCUUGCGGGAGUCAACGGCAGCGCGGCGAUGCCGCCUCUCUGUGAGAUCCCGGCUUUGUGAGCUUCACAAUGGGCCCAGACCGCCGGUGCCGCCCGCCUCACGGCAGAAAUGCCGCAUUUCCACCACAGCCAGACCCACGUGCCACCGUCACCCCGCCACAGCGUGGGAGUCACACCUGCAUGCCGUGCGAGCGGGAAAGGACCACGCCAUUGCACAGUAGCCCUUCACAAAAUGCCUGAUAGCCGGAUUCCACAAUCCACACCACAAAAAAGCAGCAAGGACACUGUUGCUUUUUUCUUUUUUUUUCCCUGCAGUAAAUAAAAUCUCUCACGCACACAGAUUAAUGUGAAGCUGGUGGCUGUAUGCUGCACAACACAGUCUGUGUGUAGCUGGGUUAGGUCCCAGGAGGGGACAGCCAAUGCUCUGGGGAUAGCUACUUAACUCAGAUUGCUCUGGUAAAAUAUAAAUAAAAAAUAACACAUUUGAACAAA